rnacentral:rRNA from 1 species
AUGAACGCUGGCGGCGUGCCUAAUACAUGCAAGUCGAGCGAACAGACGAGGAGCUUGCUCCUCUGACGUUAGCGGCGGACGGGUGAGUAACACGUGGAUAACCUACCUAUAAGACUGGGAUAACUUCGGGAAACCGGAGCUAAUACCGGAUAAUAUAUUGAACCGCAUGGUUCAAUAGUGAAAGACGGUUUUGCUGUCACUUAUAGACGGAUCCGCGCCGCAUUAGCUAGUUGGUAAGGUAACGGCUUACCAAGGCAACGAUGCGUAGCCGACCUGAGAGGGUGAUCGGCCACACUGGAACUGAGACACGGUCCAGACUCCUACGGGAGGCAGCAGUAGGGAAUCUUCCGCAAUGGGCGAAAGCCUGACGGAGCAACGCCGCGUGAGUGAUGAAGGUCUUCGGAUCGUAAAACUCUGUUAUUAGGGAAGAACAAAUGUGUAAGUAACUAUGCACGUCUUGACGGUACCUAAUCAGAAAGCCACGGCUAACUACGUG